AGUCGUAACAAGGUCUCCGUUGGUGAACCAGCGGAGGGAUCAUUAAAGAGUUGCAAAACUCCCAAACCAUUGUGAACUUACCUUCAACGUUGCUUCGGCGGGUUGGCCCCGGUCUCCGGGGCCCCCGGCCCUCACGGGCACCCGCCGGAGGUAUCUAACUCUUGAAUUAUGGCAUCUCUGAGUCUUUGUACUUAAUAAGUCAAAACUUUCAACAACGGAUCUCUUGGUUCUGGCAUCGAUGAAGAACGCAGCGAAAUGCGAUAAGUAAUGUGAAUUGCAGAAUUCAGUGAAUCAUCGAAUCUUUUGAACGCACAUUGCGCCCGCCAGUAUUCUGGCGGGGCAUUGCCUGUUCGAGCGUCAUUUCAACCAUCAAGCCCCCGGCUUGUGUUGGGGACCUGCGGCUGCCCGCAGGCCCUGAAAAUCAGUGGCGGGCUCGCUAGUCACUCCGAGCGUAGUAAUACAUCUCGCUUAGGACGUGCUGCGGGUUCCGGCCGUAAAAACACCUUAUUUACCCAAGGUUGACCUCGGAUCAGGUAGGAAGACCCGCUGAACUUAAGCAUAUCAAUAAGCGGAGGAAAAGAAACCAACAGGGAUUGCCUCAGUAACGGCGAGUGAAGCGGCAACAGCUCAAAUUUGAAAUCUGGCUUCGGCCCGAGUUGUAAUUUGUAGAGGAUGCUUUGGGUGCGGCUCUGACUGAGUUCCCUGGAACGGGACGCCACAGAGGGUGAGAGCCCCGUAUAGUCAGAUGCCUAGCCUAUGUAAAGCUCCUUCGACGAGUCGAGUAGUUUGGGAAUGCUGCUCAAAAUGGGAGGUAAAUUUCUUCUAAAGCUAAAUAUUGGCCAGAGACCGAUAGCGCACAAGUAGAGUGAUCGAAAGAUGAAAAGCACUUUGAAAAGAGGGUUAAAUAGCACGUGAAAUUGUUGAAAGGGAAGCGCUUGUGACCAGACUUGCGCCGGGCAGAUCAUCCGGUGUUCUCACCGGUGCACUCUGCCCGGCUCAGGCCAGCAUCGGUUCUCGUGGGGGGAUAAAGGUCCCGGGAACGUAGCUCCUUCGGGAGUGUUAUAGCCCGGGGCGUAAUGCCCUCGUGGGGACCGAGGUUCGCGCAUCUGCAAGGAUGCUGGCGUAAUGGUCAUCAGCGACC
rnacentral:rRNA from 1 species